rnacentral:piRNA from 1 species
UGCUGAAGUGAAAGGUUUGAUUUGGU